rnacentral:misc_RNA from 1 species
AUUAGAGUUGUCUUAGUCGUUUAGUUCCUUGUAUCUUUUAGACGUCACAAGUGGAAAGAAAUGUAUUUCUCAGAAUUUCAUUGGUGGCCAUCAUUAAGGCACUGUUGAUAGAAUAGUGGUUGCUGAAAAAAGACAUUGUGGAAACUGGCUUGUUCUUCAAUCACCAACAUUGUGGUACAAAGAGAACAAGAAAAUUAGAAGCACAAUCAAAA